rnacentral:lncRNA from 1 species
GCCUGGGAGAAGCGGGAGUGCGUAUUUGAGUGGGGUCUGGAGCAGGUGCAUGCAAAGAAGCACCUCAAAGGCACGGGCAGGAGAGUGCCUUCUGGGAAUCAUAGAGUUGUCUUGGCACAGAACCAAUCAUGAGAGACCAAUCGUGAGAGACAAUAGGAGGAUAUUGUGCUGACUCCACAGGGGGCCCUGGUUGGCACCGAGAGGCCGUCUGGGUAUGCUGUGGUCUGGUCAAGCAUUGUCAGAGCUCGGCUCCCGCACUGACUUCAGCUAGAAGCUAGCGUAAUACAAAUGGCUUCUCCUUUCUGAGGAGAGCAAUGUGCUGCAUGGAAGCCUUUGUUCAUCCUCACUGGCUGAAGAUGUGCACUGUGGGCUCACAGCGUAUGAGACAGUGUAAGACCAUAUCACUGGGGUGGCUCCACUGCAGAGAACGAAUCUAUUCUAGGCACUACCCCCACCAGGAAGCCCAUCAGACAAUGGCCCAAGCACAUUCCGAUGGACAAGUUUGAGGCUCAACAAAUUCAUUGUCAACAACUAGGAAGAUGGAAUAAAAAUCAGAUGUCCAAGUCUAGAUUGGCGAGUUGAAAUAAAAACAAUCCUAUUACACAUCACCCAAUGAAAAAAAAUUACCCAAGCCAUGGUCUACCCAGCAUUUUUGUUCAUUGUGCGAGGUGUUUGGCAAAGUGUACCAAGAUUUUUAAAAAUUCCUAUCAAUUUACCAACUACUUCCUCUUCUAGUAAUUUAUCCUAAGUAAAUCAGUAGAGAUUUACUUAGGUUCAUGUACAAAAUAUCCUAUGCAGAAUAUUGUCUAUUGACAGUAUCCCAACUAUCCGACAAUAUGGAUAAUUGUAAAAUAAAUUAUACCAAUAAGAUAAAAUACUAUUCAUGCAAAACUAAAUGUGUGGUCUUCCCCUCUGAACCUGUCCUCCCCAAUGCAUGGCAAUAAAGUAUAGUGCGUACACUGUAGUUCUGAAGUUAGACUGACUACACGCAAAUCCUGGCUUUGGAACAUUCUAACUGUGUGACACUGGACAUUUACUUAACUUACCUAAGCCUCGGUUUUCUCUUGUGAAAAUAAUAAGGCUACCAGAGAAUUCAGUAAAAUAAUUAAUGAAAAAUGCUGACACAUAAUAAAGGCUCAAUAAAUGUUCCAUGGUGAACAGCUCUAUGAAAACCUAUUUCCAAAGUCCAAAGAAGCUGAGGGGACAAAGAAAAAGGCUGACACAUCCGAUUUCUCAGUAAGAAAUGUUUAACAGGGACUUGCAAACAGAAGCCCUGUCCCCAGAGGCUGUGGGAUGAGUUGGUGGAUUUCUGAGCCAUUACCCUGCAGACCCAGAGCUUAUGUACCACAGGUGAGGAAUGUGUAAGACAGGCGAAGUGGACCCCUGAGAGACAGGUAAGAAUUCUAUUUGAAUCUGCCUAAAGGCAGGAUUUCUGAUCAAGAUCAUUUUGACCUAAGAGCAGGAUUUACAGUAACAGUAAAGUAGAGAUCUCAGAGGCAUUCCCAGAACACAGGUUAAUCGGAAGUCCACAUAGCUGAUUCGCAUCCAAGAUGGAGUAGCUUUAGCCUCCACAGAGUUGCUGCUGGUAACUUUGGUUACACACAGAAAUCACCUGGGAUACUUUAAAAAUACUGCUGCUUGGCUUCCAUACCCAGAAAUUCUGAUGUAACUUGUCUGAGAUGGAGACUCAGCAUCCAGAUCUGUCAAAGCUCCUCUAGUAGGUUCUGAUUCUAGUCAUGAGAGAGUCACUCACUUGUACUGAACAUUAGUCCUGCUAACAGCAAUUACAAACUCUUCUCAGAAUAUAAUCAGCAACCGUUUGAAGACACAAGAAACCAACCCAAAGCAGGCACAAACCUCAUCCUUGACAGAAAAGGAGCACAUUAACCAGCUCCACAUUUAACCGGCUUUCCCUGGAGGACGCUAUCCAGCAAGGCAAAAUAGGCAGUCAAGCAGGAAGUAGUGAUGUUAUUGGGCUAAACAGACACGGAUUGAAGUUCAGAGCUGCCAUCCCAUCUGGAAAUUGAACAGCAAAAUCCCAGAAAGCAGGAAGAAAGAAGGAAACCACCAAACUAGUGUAAAAUUCCCCUAGGUCCUUGGCUGACUUAUGAACUGUGCAGAGUACAUGAGGAGACACCCAGGAGCCCAGCAGAAAGCAGCAACUUGGAAGCCAAAAAGCUGGAUCUCAGCAGGUACCUAGUGCUUAGAGUUCUGGGUUCGAGUCCCACUUAGUUAGACAGGCUUUGACAAACACUACAGGCUCUCCCUGAAAAACUAGCAGGACCACACCUUAGGAGUAAGAACCACAUCCCAAGACUAAAGGCUAUGACCCAGGAUCAUGACAAACCCAAAGAACAAACCCUAAAUCCAAGCUUUCACAAGAGCUACAGAACCUGCCAGCAAUGUAAGUGCCUGCCGGAACAAAACAGCACAUUGUAAAGGAAGGUAAUGUAAUUCAGUCUCCACAACAAAUCCACGGUUCCCAAAACAAUAAUAACUUUCUAAAAAGACACUAGACAAGCACAAAAACAGAAAAUGUGACCCAUAAUCAGGAUAAAAGAAACAGACCUGUAGAUCACCUAGAUGUUGAAUUUAGCAGACGAGCAAUUUAAAGCAGCUAUUAUAAAUAUGUCAGCAGCUAUUUAUUAUAAAUAUGUCAGGUGGCCGGGCUCGGUGGCUCAUGCCUGUAAUCCCAGCACUUUGGAAGGCCAAGGUGGGCAGAUCACCUGAGGUCAGGAGUUUGAGACCAGCCUGGCCAACAUGGUAAAACCCCAUCUCUACUAAAAAUACAAGAAUUGGCCGGGCGUGGUGGCACCCACCUGUAGUUCCAGCUACUCAGGAGGCUGAGGCAGGAGAAUCGCUUGAACCUGGGAGGCAGAGGUUGCAGUGAGCCAAGAUCGUGCCAUUGCACUCCAGCCUGGGCAACAGAGAGAGACUCUGUCUCAAUCAAUCAAUCCAUCAAUAAGUAAGGGGGGUUACAAAGAAGAGUGAAAAGAAGGGCAAAGACAGAGAAUCUUAGCAGAGAAAUAGAAACAUUAAAAAGGAAACAGAUGGAAAUUCUAGAAAUGAAAAAUAUGGCUUCACUAGAGACUCCACACAGCAGAAGAAAGGAUUAUGAACUUGAACACAGGCCAGUACAAGUUAUCCACUUUCCAAAGCACAAAAGGAAAAAGAAAUUUCAAAAAACUGAACAGCAACAUCUGAGUCCUGUGGGACAAUAGCAAAUGGUUGUCUCAUAUAUUAAUAUAUGCAAUUGGAGGCCCAGAAGGAGAGGACAGAGGGAGUGGAGUAAAAGAAAUAUUUAAUGAGACAAUGGCCAUCUUUCUUUCCAAAAUUGACAUAAGAACCCACAGAUUCAAGAAGCUCAGCAACCACUGAGUAUGAUAAAUAAAAAGAACACAUCAUAGCCAAACUUUUGAAAAAUAUAAAAAAGGAAAAACAUCUCUAAAAAGGAAAAAAAAAAAACUGGCCAGGAAAAAGACACAUUACAUUCAAGGGAAUGACAAAAAUAGUGAUGCCUGACAUCUCAACAGAAGGAACAGAAGCUAAACAACAACUGAAAAACAUCUUUAAAGUGUGGAAAAAGAAAAGAAUCUAGAAUUCUAUGCAGAGAAAUAAUAUUCUUUGAAAAUGUAGGCAAAAUAACUGAGACAAACAAAACUGAGAGAAUUAAUUGCUCAUAAAUCCUCAGGACACACGAUGCUAGAGAAAAUUAUUCAGGCUGGGGGGAAAUUAUCCCACAAGUAAAUCUAAAUCCAUAAGAAAGACUGAAGAUCACACAAAUGGUAAGUCUACGGGUUUUAUUAAAGGCUAUUUUUCUCAAAUUCUUUAAAAGUAUAUGAUCUUUAAAAUGCAAAAUAAUACAAUAAAAUGUGUUUGUUGUAUGAUUUAUACAUAAGUAGAAGUAAAAUGUGUGAUAACAAUAGCAUAAAAGGCUAGAGUGGGAGAUGGAAUUAUAAAGUUCAAGGUUCUUACAUUAUAUGUGAAGGGGCAUAAUGCCAUUUUAAGUUCAUGAUAACUUGAGGAUGUAUAGUCCAAUCUCUACAGCAACCACUAAAAUAGGUUAAGCAAAGAGAUCGAAAGCCAGUCAAGGAGCUAGAAUAUGUGAACGUUGUCAGAAUAAAUAUGAAGUCACUAAUGUUGAGAGAACCAUGACAAGCAGAGCCAGGGAGGCCAUGAAGACAGGGUUCUCAUGCUUGUAGGUCUGAUGACAAAAACUAUCACAAAAGACUGCAAAACCGUACAAAAGCCAUCACAACCUUACAGAAAAGAAAAUACUUCUACAGGAACAUCUGCCCAGCUAUUGCCUGUCCAACCUCAGACUGGCAUCAACCUCGUUAUUGAUCUUUGUAACCAAGACAAUUAAUUUUUAUUAAUUUUGUAAAUCAAGACAAUUAAUUAUAUAAUCCUCCGCAUAUUUCCUUUAAAAACCUUGUCUUCCUUUACCUCCCUAAAUAUGCAUAUAAUUUACUAUGACAGUCCCAUUGCAACACUUUAUUCCAAAUAAAUAUUUGUUCUUU